rnacentral:rRNA from 1 species
CCUACGGGGUGCUGCAGUGGGGAAUAUUGGGCAAUGGACGGAAGUCUGAACCAGCAAAGCCGCGUGAAGGAAGAAGGCAUACGGGUUGUAAACUUCUUUUAGGGGGGAAGCGCAGAAGACGGUACCCCUUGAAUAAGCGACGGCUAACUACGUGCCAGCGGCCGCGGUAAUACGUAGGUGGCAAGUAUUGUCGGGAUUUACUGGGUGUAAAGGGCGUGCAGCCGGAGAGACAAGUCAGAUGUGAAAUCAACAGGCUCAACCCGUGAACUGCAUUUGAAACUGUUUCCCUGGAGUAUCGGAGAGGUAAGCGGAAUUCCUAGUGUAGCGGUGAAAUGCGUAGAUAUUAGGAAGAACACCAGUGGCGAAGGCAGAGGACGGGCCGACAACUGACGGUGAGGCGCGAAAGCGUGGGUAUCAAACAGGAUUAGAUACCCCGGUAGUC